rnacentral:lncRNA from 1 species
AUGGGCGGUGCGCAGCUGCCCCAGGCGCGGUGCCUGCUCGAUGCUGUAGUACAGGGCAGCAGGGCCAGCGGGGCUGCUGCUCAAUGCCUGCAGGUUCUCGCUGGUGAUGGGCUGCAGGGCACCUGGAAAACACAUCAGGAUGGGCAUCAGCCUUUCUCCUCUGGAAUUCCUGAGUGCCGCUGCCCGAGCCCCACACCCACCUGGGCAGAGGGUGAGGCUCUGCUUCUUGGCCAGGCUGAUGUGCUCCUCUCUGUGCGCCCUGACGAGGAAGAAGUGCCCGGGAGACAGGUUCUCACCAUCCCACAGGUCAAAGGCGAAGCCUCCAUCCAGGGGCCCUGUGGAGAGCAUGGAGCUGGGGCACAGGGCAGACCCUACCUUGGUGCAGGACCAGGGCACGGUGCCCACCCCAGUGGCACAGAGCACGGGGACAGCUGUACCUUGGUGCACAAAGAGGACGAUGCCGCUGUCAAUCUGCGCUUGCGUGAAGCUCCGCAGUGCCGUGUUGGGAGCAGAGCGCAGCACCACCUUGCCGUUGGCUGGAGGCUGGAUGGAGAAGGUGACCUCAGCUGCCGGGCUGUCCUCGUCCUCAGCACGCAGAGUUUGGGGGCCGAUGGUGGCAGCGGUGCCUUCCCGCAGCUGGGGGACAGGAAAGGCCGUGACUCUCUGGACACCCCAGCAGCGCCGCGUGCCUUGCACAGGGAGGCACAUCUCGGCCGUACAAGAGCUCCUUGUGCACUGCUGGGUGAUGCACGCAUCCCCUGGCCUCUGCCCAAGCCCUCAUCGCCCCGCGCCUGUUCCCCAGCACGUUCAUGGGGCACAGUGCCCGUGACUGCUGCCACUCCACAUCUGCAGCAUCACCCCACUGCAAAGGAAUUUCAGUGCCCAGGGCUCAGCCCAAAGCAUGCAGGGGAUGGAGGCAAGCAGGAGGCAGCAAUGCACCCCGUUGCUUAUCCUCUGCCAUACUCCAGCCUUGCAGACUGCGGGAUUAUUCCUGUCCCAGCAUCGGGUUAG